rnacentral:rRNA from 1 species
GUCUUCUUGCAUAUUUAUAAGAAGUCUGACCUGCCCAGUGAUGUUAUUUAACGGCCGCGGUAUUUUGACCGUGCAAAGGUAGCAUAAUCAUUAGUCUUUUAAUAGAGGGCUGGUAUGAAUGGUUUGACGAGGUGUUGACUGUCUCAUUUAAUUUGAAUUUAAAAUUUAACUUUUCAGUUAAAAGGCUGAAAUUUUAUUGGAAGACGAGAAGACCCUAUAGAGCUUUAUAUUUAUUUUAUUAAUUUAUUUUUGUUUAUUAUUAUUUAUUAUUAUUGUAAGUAUUUUGUUGGGGUGACAAAAAUAUAUAAUUAACUUUUUUAUAUGGAAAACAUUGAUAUAUGGUUAAUAGAUCCAAUCUUAUUGAUUGUUAGAGUAAGUUACCUUAGGGAUAACAGCGUAAUCUUCCUCCAGAGUUCAUAUCUACGGGAAGGCUUGCGACCUCGAUGUUGGAUUAAGAUAAUAAUUAGGUGUAGCCGCUUAAUAUAUAGGUCUGUUCGACCUUUAAAUUCUUACA